GGGGGCAACCCCGAGUAGAGUGGCGGACGGGUGAGUAACGCGUAGGAAUCUACCUGGUAGUGGGGGACAACCCGGCGAAAGCCGGGCUAAUACCGCAUACGAUCCACGGAUGAAAGCAGGGGACCGCAAGGCCUUGCGCUAUCAGAUGAGCCUGCGUCGGAUUAGCUAGUUGGUGAGGUAAAGGCUCACCAAGGCGACGAUCCGUAGCUGGUUUGAGAGAACGACCAGCCACACUGGGACUGAGACACGGCCCAGACUCCUACGGGAGGCAGCAGUGGGGAAUAUUGGACAAUGGGGGCAACCCUCGAUCCAGCAAUGCCGCGUGUGUGAAGAAGGCCUUCGGGUUGUAAAGCACUUUCGGUGGGGACAAACAAGGCGGAGCUAACAUCUCCGUCCCUGAUGGUACCCAAAGAAGAAGCACCGGCUAACUCUGUGCCAGCAGCCGCGGUAAUACAGAGGGUGCAAGCGUUAAUCGGAAUUACUGGGCGUAAAGCGUGCGUAGGUGGUUUGUUAAGUCAGGUGUGAAAUCCUCGGGCUCAACCCGGGAGCUGCGCUUGAUACUGACAGACUCGAGUGU
rnacentral:rRNA from 1 species